rnacentral:rRNA from 1 species
GAUGAACGCUAGCUACAGGCUUAACACAUGCAAGUCGAGGGGAAACGACAUCGAAAGCUUGCUUUUGAUGGGCGUCGACCGGCGCACGGGUGAGUAACGCGUAUCCAACCUGCCCACCACUUGGGGAUAACCUUGCGAAAGUAAGACUAAUACCCAAUGAUAUCUCUAGAAGACAUCUGAAAGAGAUUAAAGAUUUAUCGGUGAUGGAUGGGGAUGCGUCUGAUUAGCUUGUUGGCGGGGUAACGGCCCACCAAGGCAACGAUCAGUAGGGGUUCUGAAAGGAAGGUCCCCCACAUUGGAACUGAGACACGGUCCAAACUCCUACGGGAGGCAGCAGUGAGGAAUUUUGGUCAAUGGACGAGAGUCUGAACCAGCCAAGUAGCGUGCAGGAAGACGGCCCUAUGGGUUGUAAACUGCUUUUAUAAGGGAAUAAAGUGAGUCUCGUGAGACUUUUUGCAUGUACCUUAUGAAUAAGGACCGGCUAAUUCCGUG